GAAUUUUAUAUAUUUUUAUUUAAUAAAAUUUAUAUUGAAAUAAAUAAGAAGAUAUUUUAUUGGGAGGAUAGUUAAAUAUUAAAAACUUUAAUUAAAAUAGAAUAUAAAUUAAUAAAUUUAAGGAUGGUUAAAUAAGUUAAUUAAGAAUUAAUUACCUUAGGGAUAACAGCGUAAUAUUUUUGGAGAGUUCAUAUUAAUAAAAAUGUUUGC
rnacentral:rRNA from 1 species